rnacentral:rRNA from 1 species
AGUGAAUAGAUACCCAGGUAGUCCACGCUGUAAACGAUGGAUGCUAGCUGUGAUGCGUAUCGACCCGCGUCGUAGCGAAGCUAACGCGUUAAGCAUCCCGCCUGUGGAGUACGGCCGCAAGGCUAAAACAUAAAGGAAUUGACGGGGACCCGCACAAGCGGUGGAGCGUGUUGUUUAAUUCGAUGGUAAGCGAAGAACCUUACCCAGGUUUGACAUCCUUGGAAAUUCUGCGAAAGCAGAGUGUGCCUUUUGGAACCAAGUGACAGGUGAUGCAUGGCCGUCUUCAGCUCGUGUCGUGAGACGUUAGGUUAAGUCCUUCAACGAGCGCAACCCUUAUAGUUAGUUGUAUUUUUCUAGCUAGACUGCCCUGGUAACAGGGAGGAAGGAGGGGAUGAUGUCAGGUCAGUAUCUCCCUUAUAUCUGGGGCUACAAACACGCUACAAUGGCCGGUACAAAGGGAAGCCAACCCGCGAGGGGAGCAAAUCCCAUCAAAGCCGGUCUCAGUUCGGAUUGUAGGCUGAAACUCGCCUGC